UGGCAAUCCCCUCCCAAAUUUCACAUCGAUAGCUUGUAGCGGCGGCGGCGGCUGCGGUGACCCCAACUCGAGUAGCUGCCGCGUCCAUGUCAGCCACACCGUCGGCGCCGGCGACUCAGCCAGGCCUCGGCGUGUCAAGCACAGCAUCAACAGCCCAUGGACAAGCUGCCAUUGCGAAUGUGAAAUCAAAAGACCCAGGAUGGAAAUAUUGCAUUUGCCCGGAUGAAAACAAGAAGAAUUCACUUAGGUGCAUCUAUUGUAAUAAUCUGUACACCAAUGGUAUUACUCGGAUCAAGUUCCACCUUGGAAACAUUCCGAAUUCCGGUGUUCUACCUUGCACAAAAGUGCCUGCUGAUGUAAGGGAUGAAAUUGUUGAGUAUUUGACAAGGAAGGGUGAGAAAAAGGCAAUAAAGGUUACAGAGCAGAAGAGAAGGAGAUGUGAAGUGGACUUGAGCCACUCAGAGGGGGAAGGUGCUAGUGACUCAGAUGGCACAAACAAUUCUGUUCUUGUGCUGAAGUCAGCGCGUGGCACAACGUCUAAAUCCUCAAGUGGCCCUAUGGAAAAGUUCUGCAAAUUGACACCCAAAGAGGCUAUUGCUGCAAGGAAGGAAAAAGUUGCUGAUAAUAUCCAAUUAAAGCUGACAACUGGGAGAAGAGAACAAAAAAGGAUUCGUGCUUGUGAGUACAUUUGCCAAUUCUUCUAUGAAGCAUGCAUUCCCUUCAAUGCAGUCACACUUCCAAGCUUUGACCUUAUGCUUGAGUCAAUUGGACAAUACGGCGAAGACCUAGAUGGUCCUAGUCCUUAUGAAAUGGGUGGGCCAUACUUGAAGAAGAGGAAGAAGAGAGUGAAGGAUUCCUUCAAGGCACACAAGGAACAUUGGGAGCUCACUGGAUGUACAAUCAUGACAGAUGCAUGGACAGACAUAAGAGGAAGAGGGGUAAUGAACUUGGUGGUUCAUAGUGCUUAUGGUGUAGUUUUUCUUGAUUCUGUGGAUUGUUCAGCUGCUAAAAAAAUGGUAAGUACAUCUUUGAUCUUGUAGAUCGUUGCAUAGAAGAGAUUGGGGAGAAACAUGUAGUUCAAGUAGUGACUGAUAAUGCAAGUGUGAAUCAAGCAGCAUCUAAGUUGUUGAACGCAAAGCGCCCCAAGGUAUUUUGGAAUGGUUGUGCUGCCCACUGUAUAGAUCUGAUGCUAGAGGACAUUGGGAAGCUGCCAUCAGUUGACUCCACCAUUACAAAAGCUAGAGCUGUGACGGUUUUCCUUUAUGCACACACAAGGGUUUUGAACCUAAUGAGGGAAUUCCUUAGUAAAGAUUUGGUUAGGUCUGGUAUUACAAGGUUCGCUACAGCAUACUUGAACUUGAAAAGCAUGCUGGACAACAAGAAACAACUCCAGAAACUAUUUAGAUCAGAUGAGCUUGAUGAAAUGGGAUAUUUAAAAAAGGUUAAAGGAAAUGAAGCUAGCAAAACUGUGCGCUCUGAAACUUUUUGGAGAGGAGUAGACAUUGUUGUCAAGUUCUUUGAGCCAUUGGCUAAUUUGCUCGGGAGGAUGGACAGCGAUGUACCGGCUAUGGGAUUCAUAUACGGCGCCUUUUUGGAUGCCAAGCAAGAGAUCAAAACUAAGUUUGAAAAUGAACAAGGAUCUUAUUUUCAGGAAGUGUUGGAUAUUGUGGAUAAAAGAUGGGACAGCAAGUUGAAGGGGCCACUACAUAGGGCUGGAUACUUCUUAAAUCCAUACUACUACUAUGAAAACAAGAAGCAAAUUGAGUUAGAUGGAUCAUUUGAAGCUGGGCUUGUAACUUGCAUGGAAAAAAUGGUUGAAGAUGUUGUCCUUCAAGACAAAAUCAAUGAUGAGCUUGUGGCAUAUCGAAAGGAAUAGGGGACAUUUGGAAGAGAAAUUGCCAAAAGGCAGCGGAGAAACAAAAGCUUUGAUCCAGCUCAAUGGUGGUCCAGUCAUGGGUCAGAUUCACCAAAUCUCAGAGUAUUGGCGAUGCGGAUUUUGAGUUUGACAUGCAGCUCCUCCGCUUGUGAGAGGAAUUUUAGUGUUUUUCAGCAGAUUCACACAAAGAAACGCAACAGGCUGCUUCAUAAUAAAAUGAGAGACCUUGUUUUUAUCAAGUUCAACUCCAAACUCAAACAAAAGAGAAAGAUGAAAAACAGGGACCCGAUUGUGGACCACACAUUUGUAGAUGUUGUAGAAGAUGAAGAUAAUGAGUGGAUCACAGGUAUUGUGCCUCAUGAACCUGAUGAAGUUGUAGAAGUUGCAGCAUCAACAUCACAAGGAGCAGUUGGUGCAUCAAAAAGAAAGAGAGCGUCCCAAUCUCGCCCUCGGAAGAAGAAAAAACUGCUCCCUGUUUUUCGUGAAGAUGAGUUGGAGUCAGCUAGUUCUUCUUCUGAAUCGGAAGAUGAUGCCAUGCAUUCACCAUCUGGUUCAUCAAAUGAGAGUGAUUCUGAAUAAUUUCCAAGUUGUCGUUGUAUUGUAUUGUUUACUUGUUGGCUUGUUGCCUUGUUGGCUAGUUCAUCUUUAAACUGAUAUGUUGUACUAUUGUCGUCCUAUGGCAGUUGUUGUUGCCCUUCUAGUUUUUUGGACAAGUAAUUUCGCAUGUGUCGCUAUGGACUGUUGUAUUGUUAUGUUCUCCAUCUAGUUCAUCAUAAAACU
rnacentral:rRNA from 1 species